rnacentral:rRNA from 1 species
UGGGGAAUAUUGGACAAUGGGCGCAAGCCUGAUCCAGCCAUGCCGCGUGGGUGAUGAAGGCCCUAGGGUUGUAAAGCCCUUUCGGCGGGGAAGAUAAUGACGGUACCCGCAGAAGAAGCCCCGGCUAACUUCGUGCCAGCAGCCGCGGUAAUACGAAGGGGGCUAGCGUUGCUCGGAAUCACUGGGCGUAAAGCGCACGUAGGCGGAUCUUUAAGUCAGGGGUGAAAUCCUGGAGCUCAACUCCAGAACUGCCUUUGAUACUGAGGGUCUUGAGUCCGGGAGAGGUGAGUGGAACUGCGAGUGUAGAGGUGAAAUUCGUAGAUAUUCGCAAGAACACCAGUGGCGAAGGCGGCUCACUGGCCCGGUACUGACGCUGAGGUGCGAAAGCGUGGGGAGCAAACA